rnacentral:tRNA from 1 species
ACUAUUUUGGCAGAUUAGUGCAAUAAAUUUAGAAUUUAUAAAUGGAUGAUAAUUCAAAUAGUA